rnacentral:rRNA from 1 species
AGGACGAACGCUGGCGGCGUGCUUAACACAUGCAAGUCGAGCGGAAAGGCCCUUCGGGGUACUCGAGCGGCGAACGGGUGAGUAACACGUGAGCAACCUGCCCUUAGCUCUGGGAUAGCUCCGGGAAACCGGAAUUAAUACCGGAUAUUACACCGGCUGGCAUCGGCUGGUGUGGAAAGAUUUAUCGGCUAAGGAUGGACUCGCGGCCUAUCAACUUGUUGGUGGGGUAGAAGCCUACCAAGGCGACGACGGGUA